rfam:Nippostrongylus brasiliensis genome assembly, scaffold: NBR_scaffold0002736
ACAUCUGUAGCACAGUGGUUAGUGCAGUCUGCCGGAAUCAGAAAGACGCGGGUUCAAUUCCCGUCCGAUGUC